UACGAAGGGUGCAAGCGUUACUCGGAAUUACUGGGCGUAAAGCGUGCGUAGGUGGUUUGUUAAGUCCGUUGUGAAAGCCCUGGGCUCAACCUGGGAAUGGCAGUGGAUACUGGCAAGCUAGAGUGCGGUAGAGGGUAGUGGAAUUCCGGUGUAGCAGUGAAAUGCGUAGAGAUCGGGAGGAACACCAGUGGCGAAGGCGGCUACCUGGACCAGCACUGACACUGAGGCACGAAAGCGUGGGGAGCAAACAGGGA
rnacentral:rRNA from 1 species